rnacentral:rRNA from 1 species
GCAGUCGAGCGGAGAUGAGGUGCUUGCACCUUAUCUUAGCGGCGGACGGGUGAGUAAUGCUUAGGAAUCUGCCUAUUAGUGGGGGACAACAUUCCGAAAGGAAUGCUAAUACCGCAUACGCCCUACGGGGGAAAGCAGGGGAUCUUCGGACCUUGCGCUAAUAGAUGAGCCUAAGUCGGAUUAGCUAGUUGGUGGGGUAAAGGCCUACCAAGGCGACGAUCUGUAGCGGGUCUGAGAGGAUGAUCCGCCACACUGGGACUGAGACACGGCCCAGACUCCUACGGGAGGCAGCAGUGGGGAAUAUUGGACAAUGGGCGGAAGCCUGAUCCAGCCAUGCCGCGUGUGUGAAGAAGGCCUUUUGGUUGUAAAGCACUUUAAGCGAGGAGGAGGCUACUUAGAUUAAUACUCUAGGAUAGUGGACGUUACUCGCAGAAUAAGCACCGGCUAACUCUGUGCCAGCAGCCGCGGUAAUACAGAGGGUGCGAGCGUUAAUCGGAUUUACUGGGCGUAAAGCGUGCGUAGGCGGCUGAUUAAGUCGGAUGUGAAAUCCCUGAGCUUAACUUAGGAAUUGCAUUCGAUACUGGUCAGCUAGAGUAUGGGAGAGGAUGGUAGAAUUCCAGGUGUAGCGGUGAAAUGCGUAGAGAUCUGGAGGAAUACCGAUGGCGAAGGCAGCCAUCUGGCCUAAUACUGACGCUGAGGUACGAAAGCAUGGGGAGCAAACAGGAUUAGAUACCCUGGUAGUCCAUGCCGUAACGAUGUCUACUAGCCGUUGGGGCCUUU